rnacentral:rRNA from 1 species
UACGUAGGGGGCAAGCGUUGUUCGGAAUCACUGGGCGUAAAGGGAGAGUAGGCGGGAAAAUAAGUUAGAAGUUUAAUGUCCGGGCUUAACCCGGAAACUGCUUUUAAUACUGUUUUUCUUGAGUAUUGGAGAGGGAGAUGGAAUUCCAGGUGUAGCGGUGGAAUGCGUAGAUAUCUGGAAGAACACCAGCUGCGAAGGCGGUCUCCUGGCCAAAUACUGACGCUGAGGCUCGAAAGCUAGGGGAG